rnacentral:rRNA from 1 species
GACGAACGCUGGCGGCGUGCUUAACACAUGCAAGUCGAACGGAAAGGCCCUGCUUUUUUGUGGUGCUCGAGUGGCGAACGGGUGAGUAACACGUGAGUAACCUGCCCUUGACUUUGGGAUAACUUCAGGAAACUGGGGCUAAUACCUGAUAGGAGCUCCUGCUGCAUGGUGGGGGUUGGAAAGUUUCGGCGGUUGGGGAUGGACUCGCGGCUUAUGAGCUUGUUGGUUGGGUAGUGGCUUACCAAGGCUUUGACGGGUAGCCGGCCGGAGAGGGUGAACGGCCACAUUGGGACUGAGAUAGGGCCCAGACUGCUACGGUAGGCAGCAGUGGGGAAUAUUGCCCAAUGAGCGGAAGUCUGAGGCAGAAGUGCCGCGUGCGGGAUGAAGGCCUUCGGGUUGUAAACCGCUUUAGGCUGUGACGAAGCGUGAGUGACGGUACUGGGUGAAGAAGCACCGGCUAACUACGUG